AGAAGCAACAGUGAAGAAGGUGGAUCAAGUGAAAGGAUGGAUAAACAGUCCAAGACAAUAAAAAUGAAUGGGUGGACAUAGCUGCUGUGUAAAGUAAAAUAUAGAAACAGACUUCACUGCCACAGAAGCUGCUGACAUAGGAGGAAACAGAGGGAUGGAUUGGAACAGAAAGAAGCUUCAAUCAAUAACUGGAAUCAAAACAACCGUGAAAAUCUGGAUCCAGAUGCUCUUCACCC